rnacentral:rRNA from 1 species
CGGAGGAAAAGAAACUAACAAGGAUUCCCCUAGUAACGGCGAGUGAAGAGGGAAGAGCCCAAGAUUGAAAGCUGGCGCCUUCGGCGUCCGCAUUGUAAUCUCAAGAAGUGUUUUCCGCUUCGGACCAUGCCUAAGUCCCUUGGAAAAGGGCAUCAUAGAGGGUGAUAAUCCCGUACAUGGCAUGGAGCGCCCGAAGCUUUGUGAUACGCUUUCUAAGAGUCGAGUUGUUUGGGAAUGCAGCUCAAAAUGGGUGGUAAAUGCCAUCUAAGGCUAAAUAUUGGGGAGAGACCGAUAGCGAACAAGUACAGUGAUGGAAAGAUGAAAAGAACUUUGAAAAGAGAGUUAAACAGUACGUGAAAUUGCCAAAAGGGAAGGGUAGGAGGUCAGAGAUGCGUCGCAGGAUUCAGCCUUGCUUUUGCUUGGUGUUUUUCCUGCGUUGCAGGCCAACGUCGGUUUUGGGCACUGGAGAAGGGUAGGAGGAACGUGGCACCUCUCGGGGUGUGUUAUAGCCUCCUACUGGAUACAGCGACCGAGACCGAGGAACGCAGCGUACUCGUAAGAGCGGGCCUUUUGGCACCUUUACGCUUAGGGCGUUGGCAUAAUGGCCCUCUACCACCCGUCUG